GCUUGAACCUGAUAAGCCUGGCAGAAGCCUGAUGAACCCAGAAUGAGUGAGAUGUGAGACAGAGUCUUGUUCUGUCGUGCAUGCUGGCGUACAGUGCCACAAUCACAGCUCACCGCAGCUUCCAACUUCUGGACUCACAUGAUCCUUCUGCCUCAGACUUCCAAGUACUUGGGACUACAGUCACGAAUCACCACAGCCAGCUUGGAGUGACUUUCUAAGGGUAAAUAACGAGUCAAUUGAGACUGUAAUUAUAUGACUUGGGGCAAAAUUAACUGUGGUCAGCUGACUUGUUACCGUAUUUAAUUUUAAUUUUGGAGCUUGUAUUCAAAAGCUAUUAUAUGAAUAUAAGAAUAAAUGAUUUUUUUAACAAAAAAGAGUAUUU
ensembl:lncRNA DMXL1-DT DMXL1 divergent transcript